UGUAGUUCAGAGGUAGAGCAUGUGUCUAGCAUGCACUAAGCCCUGAGUUCCAUUCUCAGCA
rnacentral:tRNA from 1 species